rnacentral:tRNA from 1 species
CCUGGAUAGCUCAGUUGGUUAGAGCAUGGUGCUGAUAAUGCCAAGGUUUCAGGUUUGAUAUGGGACAGUUGCAUAUUCCUGCAUUGCAGGG